GACGAACGCUGGCGGCGUGCCUAAUACAUGCAAGUCGAACGAUGAAGCUCUGCUCUUGUGCCAUUUUGGAGAGCCGCACACGGGUGUGUAACGCGUGGAACCUCUCCUUUUCUUUGGGGGACAAUAAUUGAAAACGAAUGCUAAUACCGCAUAACAACCUUAUACAUAAUUGUUAUGGUUGAAAGAUGCAAUUGCGUCAUUUACAGCUGAUACCGCGGUUUAUUAGCUAGGUGGUGAGUUAGUGGCUCACAAAGGCGUUGAAGGGUAGCCGGACUGAGAGGGUGACCGGGCACAAGGGGAAUGAGAUACGGCCCAGACUGCUACGGGAGGCAGCAGUGGGGAAUAUUGCACAAUGGGAGGAAGGCUGAUGCAGCAACGCCGCGUGCGGGAUGACGGCCUGCGGGGUAUAAACCGCUUUCGCCUGUGACGAAGCGUGAGUGACGGUAAUGGGUAAAGAAGCACCGGCUAACUACGUG
rnacentral:rRNA from 1 species